GACGAACGCUGGCGGCGUGCUUAACACAUGCAAGUCGAGCGGUAAGGCCCUUUCGGGGGUACACGAGCGGCGAACGGGUGAGUAACACGUGGGUGACCUGCCCUCAGCUCUGGGAUAAGCCUGGGAAACUGGGUCUAAUACUGGAUAUGACUCCACGGUGCAUGGCGUGGGGUGGAAAGCCUUGUGCGGCUGAGGAUGGGCCCGCGGCCUAUCAGCUUGUUGGUGGGGUGANGGCCUACCAAGGCGACGACGGGUAGCCGGCCUGAGAGGGCGACCGGCCACACUGGGACUGAGACACGGCCCAGACUCCUACGGGAGGCAGCAGUGGGGAAUCUUGCGCAAUGGGCGAAAGCCUGACGCAGCGACGCCGCGUGAGGGAUGACGGCCU
rnacentral:rRNA from 1 species